UACGUAGGGGGCGAGCGUUGUUCGGAUUUACUGGGCGUAAAGGGCGCGUAGGCGGCCCGCUAAGUCGAACGUGAAAUCCCCGGGCUCAACCCGGGAACUGCGUCCGAUACUGGUGGGCUUGAAUCCGGGAGAGGGAUGCGGAAUUCCAGGUGUAGCGGUGAAAUGCGUAGAUAUCUGGAGGAACACCGGUGGCGAAGGCGGCAUCCUGGACCGGCAUUGACGCUGAGGCGCGAAAGCCAGGGGAGCAAACGGG
rnacentral:rRNA from 1 species